rnacentral:rRNA from 1 species
UGGGGAAUAUUGGACAAUGGGCGAAAGCCUGAUCCAGCCAUGCCGCGUGUGUGAAGAAGGUCUUCGGAUUGUAAAGCACUUUAAGUUGGGAGGAAGGGCAUUAACCUAAUACGUUAGUGUUUUGACGUUACCGACAGAAUAAGCACCGGCUAACUCUGUGCCAGCAGCCGCGGUAAUACAGAGGGUGCAAGCGUUAAUCGGAAUUACUGGGCGUGAAGCGCGCGUAGGUGGUUUGUUAAGUUGGAUGUGAAAUCCCCGGGCUCAACCUGGGAACUGCAUUCAAAACUGACUGACUAGAGUAUGGUAGAGGGUGGUGGAAUUUCCUGUGUAGCGGUGAAAUGCGUAGAUAUAGGAAGGAACACCAGUGGCGAAGGCGACCACCUGGACUAAUACUGACACUGAGGUGCGAAAGCGUGGGGAGCAAACA